rnacentral:rRNA from 1 species
AGUGAACGCUGGCGGUAGGCCUAACACAUGCAAGUCGAACGGCAGCACAGUAAGAGCUUGCUCUUACGGGUGGCGAGUGGCGGAUGGGUGAGGAAUACAUCGGAAUCUACUUUUUCGUGGGGGAUAACGUAGGGAAACUUACGCUAAUACCGCAUACGACCUACGGGUGAAAGCAGGGGAUCUUCGGACCUUGCGCGAUUGAAUGAGCCGAUGUCGGAUUAGCUAGUUGGCGGGGUAAAGGCCCACCAAGGCGACGAUCCGUAGCUGGUCUGAGAGGAUGAUCAGCCACACUGGAACGGGGACACGGUCCAGACCCCUACGGGAGGCAGCAGUGGGGAAUAUUGGACAAUGGGCGCAAGCCUGAUCCAGCCAUACCGCGUGGGUGAAGAAGGCCUUCGGGUUGUAAAGCCCUUUUGUUGGGAAAGAAAAGCAGCAGGUUAAUACCCCGCUGUUCUGACGGUACCCAAAGAAUAAGCACCGGCUAACUUCGUG